rnacentral:rRNA from 1 species
GGGUCAGUGGGUUGGUCGUGCCACCGGUACGUACUGGUCUCACUGAUUCCUCCUUCCUGAAGAACCGUAAUGCCAUUAAUUUGGUGUUGCGGGGAAACAGGACUGUUACUUUGAAAAAAUUAGAGUGUUUAACGCAAGCUAACGCUUGAAUACAUUAGCAUGGAAUAAUGAAAUAGGACGAUCGAUCCUAUUUUGUUGGUUUCUAGGAUUGACGUA